rnacentral:rRNA from 1 species
GCGGAAGGAUCAUUACAACAGCCGGGGACGCCCCAUGGGCGGCACC